CUUGGCCACACAGAGAACAGCACACGUAGGACAGGUUGGUGGUGUGGGGUGCUGUCGUCCCUUGGUGAGUGUUUGGGGACAGCUGCCUUCCUAUGAGCCGGGAGAAUAAGGGGAGACUGAUCACCUCGCUGCACUGGUGGAGCAGCCACUGAGCCCUGGGCUGGGCAGGAGGCUGGGCUGGGACUGAGGGGUCUCUUCUUGUGAGGGGAGGGGAUCAGGGUCUCCUGCGUAGGAGAGGGGAGGCUUGGGGCGAUCAUGCAGGACAGCAAAGCCCCGCUGACCCCACCUGCCUGCCUUGUUCUUGCUUCCCAAGGGAUCAGUCCUACAUCAGACUCAUCUCUGCUCUCGCUCCCACUCAGCCCACCAUGAGUAAGUUGGGUGGCACACGGGUUUGAGGGGCACAGAACCUGCAGUGGGACAGAUCAGGGGGCACGGGGACCCUGGGGUUCCCCUUCUCCCCUCUCCUGCUGGGUGUCUGCAGGGCUGAAGGAGGGUGGGGCUGGGAGAGCUGCUGCUGCCCCCGGGCCCCUGCCCUGCCUGGCACAGGGCACUGGGCUCUAGCUGGGAAGAGCUUUAGUGCCCACACUCCUGUUCUUGUGCCAUUUUCCUUCUUAGCCUUUAUUCCAGUUGCUGUUGCUUUCCUCGUGGGACUCGUCGUAGGAGUUGCACUUUUAGCAUCUGCAAAGAAUCAGACUGUGGAUUUCUCUGUGAAUACCCAGGGUGCACGGUUCCGUGUUGGGGGAAAACAAAAGGCCUUGGCCCCGAGCAUCAACCCAAGCUAUGCUGUCCAGAAGAAGAACUGGUGACCACUGCCAGUGAACAGAAG
rnacentral:lncRNA from 1 species